rnacentral:rRNA from 1 species
CGAGGAAUAAUGGUCAAUGGACGAGAGUCUGAACCAGCCAAGUCGCGUGAAGGAAGACGGCCCUACGGGUUGUAAACUUUUUUUGUAAGGGAAUAAAUAGUUUUACGCGGUAAGACGUUGCAGGUACCUUACGAAUAAGGAUCGGCUAACUCCGUGCCAGCAGCCGCGGUAAUACGGAGGAUCCGAGCGUUAUCCGGAUUUAUUGGGUUUAAAGGGUGCGCAGGCGGCAUGUUAAGUUGGCGGUGAAAUUUUGCAGAUCAACUGUAAAAGAGCCUUCGAAACUGGCAAGCUUGAGUGUGGAUGAAGUAGGCGGAAUUUGUGGUGUAGCGGUGAAAUGCAUAGAUAUCACAAAGAACACCGAUUGCGCAGGCAGCUUACUAAACCAUAACUGACGGUCAUGCAAGAAGGCGUGGGGAUCAAACAGGAUUAGAUACCCUGGUAGUCCACGCAGUAAACGAUGAUUACUGGCUGUUUGUGAUACAAUGUAAGCGGCUGAGCGACAGCGUAAGUAAUCCACAUGGAGACUGCCGGA